rnacentral:rRNA from 1 species
AGUGAACGCUGGCGGUAGGCCUAACACAUGCAAGUCGAACGGCAGCACAGUAAGAGCUUGCUCUUACGGGUGGCGAGUGGCGGACGGGUGAGGAAUACAUCGGAAUCUACUUUUUCGCGGGGGAUAACGUAGGGAAACUUACGAUAAUACCGCAUACGACCUACGGGUGAAAGCAGGGGAUCUUCGGACCUUGCGCGAUUGAAUGAGCCGAUGUCGGAUUAGCUAGUUGGCGGGGUAAAGGCCCACCAAGGCGACGAUCCGUAGCUGGUCUGAGAGGAUGAUCAGCCACACUGGAACUGAGACACGGUCCAGACUCCUACGGGAGGCAGCAGUGGGGAAUAUUGGACAAUGGGCGCAAGCCUGAUCCAGCCAUACCGCGUGGGUGAAGAAGGCCUUCGGGUUGUAAAGCCCUUUUGUUGGGAAAGAAAAGCAGCAGGUUAAUACCCCGCUGUUCUGACGGUACCCAAAGAAUAAGCACCGGCUAACUUCGUG